AAAGGUACUCAAGGGCACACAAUGGAUGCCUAGACGUAUAUUACCGAUGAAGGACGUGGAAGACUGCGAUAAGCUUCGGGUAGCUGUCAACAAGCUGUGAUCCGGAGAUUUCCGAAUGGGGAAACCUAGCAUGAGUCAUGUCAUGUUGCCACGUGCUGAAUACAUAGGCACGCGAGCGGGAACCAUCUGAACUGAAACAUCUUAGUAGGAUGAGGAAAAGAGAGUAAAUAACUAUUGCGAAAGUAGUGGCGAGCGAAAUCGCAACAGCCCAAACCUUUUAAGUUUUUGCCUAUUUAUUUAGGCAAAUAAGUUGAUAGACGAAUACUUAAAAGGGGUUGUGAAAUAUUAUAUGACCAAGCCAGAGCACUUGAUUCUUCUGAAUCGAGCUAUCUGGUUUGCGACUACUGGCUAUCACCGGUAGGUAAGGUAAAAAAUCGGCGUGGUUAGCAGAACAAGUUUGAAUACUUGGUCAAAGAGCGUGAAAGCCGCGUAUGUGAAAACAACGCUGACCUUAUGUAUGGUGUUUCGAGUAGGUCGGGGCACGAGAAACCCUGAUUGAAUCCGGCUGGACCACCAGCCAAGGCUAAAUAUAAUAUACGAUCGAUAGCGAACUAGUACAGUGAUGGAAAGGUGAAAAGAACCCCGGGAGGGGAGUGAAAUAGAUCCUGAAAUUGUGUGCCUACAAGGAGUCGGAGCCGGCUUGUCCGGUGACGGCGUGCUUUUUGUAGAACGAUCCAGCGAGUUAAUUUCGUGCGCAAGGUUAAGCCAAUUGGCGGAGCCACAGUGAAAGCGAGCCUGAAUAGGGCGAAUGAGUGCACGGGAUUAGACCCGAAACCGGGUGACCUAACCAUGAGCAGGCUGAAGCGACGGUAACACGUCGUGGAGGGCCGAACCAGGGUACGCUGCAAAGUGCUUGGAUGACUUGUGGUUAGCGGUGAAAUGCCAAUCGAACUCGGAGAUAGCUGGUUCUCCUCGAAACAGUUUUAGGACUGGCGUCAUGUAGUAGCAGUCGGGGGUAGAGCUCUGUAAAGGACUGGGGCUGGCAACGGUACCCACCCUUAACAAACUACGAAUACCGACUGUGGAAUCAUGGCAGUUAGAACGGCGGAGCUAAGUUCGUCGCUCAAAAGGGAAACAGCCCAGACCAUCGUCUAAGGUCCCUAAAUUUACGUUAAGUGGGAAACAAGGUGAGAUUUCUUAAACAGCUAGGAUGUUGGCUUAGAAGCAGCCAUUCAUUUAAAGAGUGCGUAACAGCUCACUAGUCAAGAGAUCUUGCGUGGAAAAUGUAACGGGGCUAAACGUAAUACCGAAGACAUGGAUUGUAUGCUUUGCAUACAGUGGUAGAGGAGCGUUCCUAUCAGCAGUGAAGCAGUAUUGUAAAGUAUUGUGGAGCGGUAGGAAGUGAGAAUGCUGGAAUGAGUAACCAUAAGAGAGGUGAGAAUCCUCUCGGCCGUAAGAGCAAGGUUUCCUGAGCCAUGGUAAUCAUCUCAGGGUUAGUCGGGCCUAAGCCGAGGCGCAGAGCGUAGGCGAUGGACAUCAGGUUAAUAUUCCUGAACCGGUAUAUACUUGUAUGCUAUUCACGGCGAGAUAUCCGGAGCGGAUUCAUGGUUUAUCCGUCCAACCUCGUGGGAACGCGAAGGGAGUGAAAGUUACCUUUUUUGGGUGACGAUUCUGGAGAAGGCGCUGGCAAGAAAAGUAGACAUACGCGUGGUAUAUGCCGCCCGUACCGCAAACCAACACAGGUGCUCGAGUCGAGUAGACUCAGGCUUACGAGAGAACCUUCGCUAAGGAACUCGGCAAUACAGCGACCGUAACUUCGGAAUAAGGUCUGCCCCCACUUCGGUGGAUAUGUUGUCAGUUUCAUAGCUCUAUAAGGUGUGGUUAAAGAGUAUCUUUAAUACAUCAAUUCUUCUUGAGAUAGAACCAAGCUUUGGAACUGAAGCUCAACACAUCUAACGAUGUGGGGGCCGCAGCAAAAGAGCCCACGGAACUGUUUAUCAAAAACACAGCUCUCUGCUAACACGAAAGUGGAUGUAUAGGGGGUGACUCCUGCCCGGUGCUGGAAGGUUAAGGGGAGUGCUUUACGGUGCGAACUGAAGCCCCAGUGAACGGCGGCGGUAACUAUAACCGUCCUAAGGUAGCGAAAUUCCUUGUCAGGUAAGUUCUGACCCGCACGAAUGGAGUAAUCAUGUGGGCACUGUCUCAGCGAAGGACUCGGUGAAAGUGCAUUGGCUGUCUCUUAUACACAUCUGACGCUGCCGACGAGCGAUCUAGUGUAGAU
rnacentral:rRNA from 1 species